GAUCAAGCUACAAAGGGCGCACGGUGAAUGCCCUGGCACUAGGAGCCGAUGAAGGACGUGAUAAGCUGCGAUAAGCUACAUGUAGGCGCACACAGCCUGUGAUAUGUAGAUUUCCGAAUGGGGAAACCCAUCUAGUUAUGCUAGAUACUGUAUACCGAAUACAUAGGUAUAUGGAGGUACACCUGGGGAACUGAAACAUCUAAGUACCCAGAGGAAGAGAAAGAAAAUUCGAUUCCCUAAGUAGCGGCGAGCGAAAGGGGAAGAGCCCAAACCAGGAACUUGUUCCUGGGGUUGCGGAUAGAUCAUAA
rnacentral:rRNA from 1 species